rnacentral:rRNA from 1 species
CAGCAGGGGCGUAGCAAUACGUUCGCUGGCGACCGGCAAACGGGUGCGGAACACGUACACAACCUUCCUUAAAGUGGGGGAUAGCCCGGGGAAACCCGGAUUAAUACCCCGUAACAUAAUGAAGUGGCAUCGCUUUAUUAUUAUAGCAGCAAUGCGCUUAAAGAUGGGUGUGCGACUGAUUAGGCAGUUGGCGGGGUAACGGCCCACCAAACCUACGAUCAGUAACUGGUGUGAGAGCACGACCAGUCACACGGGCACUGAGACACGGGCCCGACUCCUACGGGAGGCAGCAGUAAGGAAUAUUGGUCAAUGGACGCAAGUCUGAACCAGCCAUGCCGCGUGGAGGAUGAAGGUCCUCUGGAUUGUAAACUUCUUUUAUCUGGGAAGAAAUCCACAAAUUCUUUUGUGGUUGACGGUACCAGAUGAAUAAGCACCGGCUAACUCCGUGCCAGCAGCCGCGGUAAUACGGAGGGUGCAAGCGUUAUCCGGAUUCACUGGGUUUAAAGGGUGCGUAGGUGGGUUGGUAAGUCAGUGGUGAAAUCUCCAGGCUUAACUUGGAAACUGCCAUUGAUACUAUCAAUCUUGAAUACCGUGGAGGUCAGCGGAAUAUGUCAUGUAGCGGUGAAAUGCUUAGAGAUGACAUAGAACACCAAUUGCGAAGGCAGCUGGCUACGCGGAUAUUGACACUGAUGCACGAAAGCGUGGGGAUCAAACAGGAUUAGAUACCCUGGUAGUCCACGCCCUAAACGAUGGAUACUCGACAUACGCGAUAUACUGUGUGUGUCUGAGCGAAAGCAUUAAGUA